CUAAGGUUCGACUCGAGCGAAGCGAGAGAACGUUGCCGCAGGCAACGGCCCGAAGGGCGAGGAGCGAUAGCGACGAGUUAUCCUUCCCCCACCACCA
rnacentral:sRNA from 1 species